GUGUGUGCUACCGGUACACUAAUAUUGUCAAACAAUCAAACGGUUCAACUGUCAAAACCUCGCGCUUUUUUCGUAGCCAUAUUUUUUUCACUGAGUCGAGUCGAGUGUCCACAGUUCUGCAGUCUAAAGGUGGUUCCGGUGAUUCGGUCAACGAAAAUUGCUAUCACCAUUGUUUGGAGAUCCAACGUCAUGCACGUACGUCGAUAUAGGUCGCCAUCAACCACAUCCACCUGGAUGCGUGCAAAUUCAUAUACGAAGGAUGACUGGGAAAUCGACAACCUGAAACAUUCGAUUGUGGAAGCUGCCAUGACACCAUUCCAGAGUUAGUUCGGUCUACUGUACAACGAGAAUUUCCGUUACAUGACCUAACAUUGUCUCGCGUUCGUCAUGAAAUGGGGUCAGUUUAUGGAGCUCCCUUCGAUCCCAUCAGCCGUAAUGAUCCCGAAGAGUUCUGCAAACGUCCAUCUGAUCUGCAGCCCAACGGAUGAUGAUUACUUCUACCGCCAGUUUAAUGUCAUGUGCAAGAUUUAAAGUAUAUUAUUUAUUUACAGAUAUGCAUAGUAAUAAUGUUUUCAUGUACUAUAUAAAAGAAUAAAAUAUUUUUUCAUA